UACGUAGGGGGCAAGCGUUAUCCGGAUUUAUUGGGUUUAAAGGGUGCGUAGGCGGAACAUUAAGUCAGCGGUAAAAUCGAGGGGCUCAACCCCUUUAAGCCGUUGAAACUGGUGAUCUUGAGUGGGCGAGAAGUAUGCGGAAUGCGUGGUGUAGCGGUGAAAUGCAUAGAUAUUACACAGAACACCGAUUGCGAAGGCAGCUUGCUAGGCCGGAUCUGACACUGAUGCACGAAAGCGUGGGGAUCGAACAGG
rnacentral:rRNA from 1 species